AACGAACGCUGGCGGCAUGCCUAACACAUGCAAGUCGAACGAGACCUUCGGGUCUAGUGGCGCACGGGUGCGUAACGCGUGGGAACCUGCCCUUAGGUUCGGAAUAACUCCCCGAAAGGGGUGCUAAUACCGGAUAAUAUCUUCGGACCAAAGAUUUAUCGCCUUUGGAUGGGCCCGCGUUGGAUUAGCUAGUUGGUAGGGUAAAAGCCUACCAAGGCGACGAUCCAUAGCUGGUCUGAGAGGAUGAUCAGCCACACUGGGACUGAGACACGGCCCAGACUCCUACGGGAGGCAGCAGUGGGGAAUAUUGGACAAUGGGCGAAAGCCUGAUCCAGCAAUGCCGCGUGAGUGAUGAAGGCCUUAGGGUUGUAAAGCUCUUUUACCCGGGAUGAUAAUGACAGUACCGGGAGAAUAAGCUCCGGCUAACUCCGUGC
rnacentral:rRNA from 1 species